rnacentral:rRNA from 1 species
CAAUAGCGUAUAUUAAAGUUGUUGCGGUUAAAAAGCUCGUAGUUGGAUUUCUGCCGAGGACGUCCGGUCCGCCCUCUGGGUGUGUACAUGGUACGGCCUGGGCAUCUUCUUGGAAAACGUAUCUGCACUUGACUGUGUGGUGCGGUAUCCAGGACUUUUACUUUGAGGAAAUUAGAGUGUUUCAAGCAGGCCUACGCCUUGAAUACAUUAGCAUGGAAUAAUAAGAUAGGACCUCGGUUCUAUUUUGUUGGUUUCUAGAGCUGAGGUAAUGAUUAAUAGGGAUAGUUGGGGGCAUUCGUAUUUAACUGUCAGAGGUGAAAUUCUUGGAUUUACGCAAGACAAACAGCUGCGAAAGCGUCUGCCAAGGAUGUUUUCAUUAA